rnacentral:rRNA from 1 species
GACGAACGCUGGCGGCGUGCUUAACACAUGCAAGUGGUGCGACGAACCAGGCUUCGGCCUGGGGCGAAGCCGCGAACGGGUGAGUAACACGUGGGCAAUCUGCCCCUUUGAUCGGGACAACCCGGGGAAACCCGGGCUAAUACCGAAUGAGGUGGCGACUCAUGAGAGUCGUCACGAAAGGAAGCUUCGGCCUCCGCGAAGGGAUGAGCCCGCGGCCCAUUAGCUUGUUGGUGGGGUAAUGGCCUACCAAGGCAACGAUGGGUAGCUGGUCUGAGAGGACGAUCUGCCACACUGGGACUGAGAUACGGCCUAGACUCCUACGGGAGGCAGCAGUGGGGAAUAUUGCACAAUGGGCGCAAGCCUGAUGCAGCGACGCCGCGUGAGGGAUGACGGCCUUCGGGUUGUAAACCUCUUUCAGCACCGACGAAGCGCAAGUGACGGUAGGUGCAGAAGAAGGACCGGCCAACUACGUGCCAGCAGCCGCGGUAA